UACGUAGGGGGCAAGCGUUGUCCGGAAUCAUUGGGCGUAAAGAGCGUGUAGGCGGCCAGAUAAGUCCGCUGUGAAAACUCGAGGCUCAACUUCGAGCUGUCGGUGGAAACUAUUUGGCUAGAGUCCGGAAGAGGAGAGUGGAAUUCCUGGUGUAGCGGUGAAAUGCGCAGAUAUCAGGAAGAACACCCGUGGCGAAGGCGGCUCUCUGGUACGGAACUGACGCUGAGACGCGAAAGCGUUGGGAGCGAACAGG
rnacentral:rRNA from 1 species